rnacentral:rRNA from 1 species
UACGGAGGAUCCGAGCGUUAUCCGGAUUUAUUGGGUUUAAAGGGUGCGUAGGCGGGUGCAUAAGUCAGUGGUGAAAUCCUUCUGCUUAACAGAAGAACUGCCAUUGAUACUGUGUGCCUUGAGUACAAAUGAAGUGGGCGGAAUGUGUAGUGUAGCGGUGAAAUGCAUAGAUAUUACACAGAACACCGAUAGCGAAGGCAGCUCACUAAGCUGUAACUGACGCUGAGGCACGAAAGCGUGGGGAU